AUUGAACGCUGGCGGUAGGCCUAACACAUGCAAGUCGAACGGCAACACAGUAAUAGCUUGCUCUUACGUGUGGCGAGUCGCGUACGUGAGAGGUAUACAUCCGACUCUACGUUUUCGGGGGGUAUCACGUAGGAAAGGUUACUCUAAUACCGCAUCCUCCCUACGGUUGAAAGGGUGGGAUCUUCGCACCUUGCGCGAGUGAAUGCGCCGAUGUGGGAUUAGCUGGUGGGCGGGGUAAAGUCCCACCAAGGCGAGGAUCCGUAGCUUGUCUGAGAGUAUGAUAAGCCACACUGGAACUGAGCCACGGUCCAGACUCCUACGGGAGGCAGCAGUGGGGAAUAUUGGACAAUGGGCGCAAGCCUGAUCCAGCCAUACCGCGUGUGUGAAGAAGGCCUUCGGGUUGUAAAGCCCUUUUGUCGGGAAAGAAAAGCAUCAGGUUAAUACCACGCUGUUCUGACGGUACCCAAAGAAGAAGCACCGGCUAACUUCGUG
rnacentral:rRNA from 1 species